GGGUAGUUACCAGAGUGGUCAAAUGGGGCAGACUGUAAAUCUGCUGGCUAUGCCUUCGGUGGUUCGAAUCCAUCACUACCCA
rnacentral:tRNA from 1 species